CUCAGUUUAACGUACUGAGCAAGAAUAUAUCUUAAGUUUUCAGUUUCGACCCCGUUUGGUCACCGAAAACUGUGCCGAACUGCAAUCUUUAUCAGAUAGCCUUCGGAUUUUAUUUCUCACUCUACGGGUGUCAGAAAAAUAUGAAACCUUAAAUCUAGCCUCAUAAAAAUAUUCCUGACUUAUUCUCUAAUUUUCAUAAUUUUCUGAGACUGCAUUUUCUGCUAAUUUUUCUGUCCCGUUUCCAACAGAAAAUUUCAGAUCUUCUGUUUUCAUCCCGAUUUCAGCACAAGUCACUUCUGACUUAUGUUUUACUUCUCUAAAUCCAAUAAAAUAGUAUCUCAUACUAUUUUUAUUUAUUUAUUUAUUUUUUAUUUUUAUAUUUAAAUCCGGUAUGUUACAUUACACCGCAACCUUCCCGGAACCAUUCAAAUGGCUCUCCAACCAAAUGGACACCGUAACCUCAUGAUUUUCGAAGUCCGAUACCCUACAUCCUCCCCUCCUUAAAAAGAGUUUCGUCCUCGAAACGAACUCAAUAUUGCAAAACUUAUUUAGAACUUUAAAUUCUAAACUCAUACCUUGACUUAAUCCUCGAACAAGUGAGCAUGAUUCGCCUUCAUCUCCUCCUCAAGCUCCCAG
rnacentral:lncRNA from 1 species